UACGUAGGGGGCAAGCGUUGUCCGGAUUUAUUGGGCGUAAAGAGCGUGUAGGCGGCCAGGUAGGUCCGUUGUGAAAACUCGAGGCUCAACCUCGAGACGUCGGCGGAAACCCUCUGGCUAGAGUCCGGAAGAGGUGGGUGGAAUUCCUAGUGUAGAGGUGAAAUUCGUAGAUAUUCGGAAGAACACCAGUGGCGAAGGCGGCUCACUGGCCCGGUACUGACGCUGAGGUGCGAAAGCGUGGGGAGCAAACAGG
rnacentral:rRNA from 1 species